rnacentral:rRNA from 1 species
GUGAGGAAUUUUCCGCAAUGGGCGAAAGCCUGACGGAGCAAUGCCGCGUGAAGGAUGAAGGCCUAUGGGUUGUAAACUUCUUUUCUCAGAAAAGAAUUAUGACGGUAUCUGAGGAAUAAGCAUCGGCUAACUCUGUGCCAGCAGCCGCGGUAAGACAGAGGAUGCAAGCGUUAUCCGGAAUGCUUGGGCGUAAAGCGUCUGUAGGUUGUUUAAAAAGUAUUCUGUAAAAGAUUAGGGCUUAACCCUAGAUAGGCAGAAUAAACUUUUAAGCUAGAGUUUGGUAGAGGCAGAGGGAAUUCCCUGUGGAGCGGUGAAAUGCGUAGAUAUCGGGAGGAACACCAAAGGCGAAGGCACUCUGCUGGGCCAAUACUAACACUGAGAGACGAAAGCGAGGGGAGCAAAUGGGAUUAGAUACCCCUGUAGUCC